rnacentral:rRNA from 1 species
GACGAACGCUGGCGGCGUGCCUAAUACAUGCAAGUCGAACGAACUCUGGUAUUGAUUGGUGCUUGCAUCAUGAUUUACAUUUGAGUGAGUGGCGAACUGGUGAGUAACACGUGGGAAACCUGCCCAGAAGCGGGGGAUAACACCUGGAAACAGAUGCUAAUACCGCAUAACAACUUGGACCGCAUGGUCCGAGCUUGAAAGAUGGCUUCGGCUAUCACUUUUGGAUGGUCCCGCGGCGUAUUAGCUAGAUGGUGGGGUAACGGCUCACCAUGGCAAUGAUACGUAGCCGACCUAAGAGGGUAAUCGGCCACAUUGGGACUGAGACACGGCCCAAACUCCUACGGGAGGCAGCAGUAGGGAAUCUUCCACAAUGGACGAAAGUCUGAUGGAGCAACGCCGCGUGAGUGAAGAAGGGUUUCGGCUCGUAAAACUCUGUUGUUAAAGAAGAACAUAUCUGAGAGUAACUGUUCAGGUAUUGACGGUAUUUAACCAGAAAGCCACGGCUAACUACGUGCCAGCAGCCGCGGUAAUACGUAGGUGGCAAGCGUUGUCCGGAUUUAUUGGGCGUAAAGCGAGCGCAGGCGGUUUUUUAAGUCUGAUGUGAAAGCCUUCGGCUCAACCGAAGAAGUGCAUCGGAAACUGGGAAACUUGAGUGCAGAAGAGGACAGUGGAACUCCAUGUGUAGCGGUGAAAUGCGUAGAUAUAUGGAAGAACACCAGUGGCGAAGGCGGCUGUCUGGUCUGUAACUGACGCUGAGGCUCGAAAGUAUGGGUAGCAAACAGGAUUAGAUACCCUGGUAGUCCAUACCGUAAACGAUGAAUGCUAAGUGUUGGAGGGUUUCCGCCCUUCAGUGCUGCAGCUAACGCAUUAAGCAUUCCGCCUGGGGAGUACGGCCGCAAGGCUGAAACUCAAAGGAAUUGACGGGGGCCCGCACAAGCGGUGGAGCAUGUGGUUUAAUUCGAAGCUACGCGAAGAACCUUACCAGGUCUUGACAUACUAUGCAAAUCUAAGAGAUUAGACGUUCCCUUCGGGGACAUGGAUACAGGUGGUGCAUGGUUGUCGUCAGCUCGUGUCGUGAGAUGUUGGGUUAAGUCCCGCAACGAGCGCAACCCUUAUUAUCAGUUGCCAGCAUUAAGUUGGGCACUCUGGUGAGACUGCCGGUGACAAACCGGAGGAAGGUGGGGAUGACGUCAAAUCAUCAUGCCCCUUAUGACCUGGGCUACACACGUGCUACAAUGGAUGGUACAACGAGUUGCGAACUCGCGAGAGUAAGCUAAUCUCUUAAAGCCAUUCUCAGUUCGGAUUGUAGGCUGCAACUCGCCUACAUGAAGUCGGAAUCGCUAGUAAUCGCGGAUCAGCAUGCCGCGGUGAAUACGUUCCCGGGCCUUGUACACACCGCCCGUCACACCAUGAGAGUUUGUAACACCCAAAGUCGGUGGGGUAACCUUUUAGGAGCCAGCCGCCUAAGGUGGGACAGAUGAUUAGGGUG